AAAUAGUGUAUUUUUCAAAAUACAGGAUCAAAUAGUUAGUUUCGUUAACAUGCAAGGACUAAAUAGUAGUUUUCCCAUUAAACAAUGAAGAAAAACAUGGCUAUUUUAUGCUUCCUGUUGCAGAUAAUAUGCACUUAGAUCAGCAUAAUCUUACCAGUGGAAUAGGAAAAGAAACAAGGAGAAACUAAGCAUCAGGCAUAUUUAUAUAUCAAAGGCAAGUGUACAAGUCAAGCCAGUUAUUGGAGUAAUAUUUAUAUUUGUGAGAACUAUAGUGGCGUAGCAACUUUGAGUGAACUAUCUUCCUGUCUAGCAUAGUUUUAGAUUAUCAAGAUGAGUGCUCUAUCUGGAAGUUAGUACUAGAACUAGAACUAGAACUGGGCAACUGAUAUCAGACUUAUCGUUCUAUUCAAAUUACUAUUUUGAUUUUCACAUUGAUAUGGUUACCUUAACACCCAAUAACCUAAAUCAGCACAUAGAGAUUGAUCCAGUUGCAUCCUGAAUCAACAACAAAUGUAAUGAUGGUAAUAAAAAGGAAGACAAAAUAUUCUGGUAAAC
rnacentral:misc_RNA from 1 species